GGUUAAGCGACUAAGCGUACACGGUGGAUGCCCUGGCAGUCAGAGGCGAUGAAGGACGUGCUAAUCUGCGAUAAGCGUCGGUAAGGUGAUAUGAACCGUUAUAACCGGCGAUUUCCGAAUGGGGAAACCCAGUGUGAUUCGUCACACUAUCAUUAACUGAAUCCAUAGGUUAAUGAGGCGAACCGGGGGAACUGAAACAUCUAAGUACCCCGAGGAAAAGAAAUCAACCGAGAUUCCCCCAGUAGCGGCGAGCGAACGGGGAGCAGCCCAGAGCCUGAAUCAGUGUGUGUGUUAGUGGAAGCGUCUGGAAAGGCGCGCGAUACAGGGUGACAGCCCCGUACACAAAAAUGCACAUGCUGUGAGCUCGAUGAGUAGGGCGGGACACGUGGUAUCCUGUCUGAAUAUGGGGGGACCAUCCUCCAAGGCUAAAUACUCCUGACUGACCGAUAGUGAACCAGUACCGUGAGGGAAAGGCGAAAAGAACCCCGGCGAGGGGAGUGAAAAAGAACCUGAAACCGUGUACGUACAAGCAGUGGGAGCACGCUUAGGCGUGUGACUGCGUACCUUUUGUAUAAUGGGUCAGCGACUUAUAUUCUGUAGCAAGGUUAACCGAAUAGGGGAGCCGAAGGGAAACCGAGUCUUAACUGGGCGUUAAGUUGCAGGGUAUAGACCCGAAACCCGGUGAUCUAGCCAUGGGCAGGUUGAAGGUUGGGUAACACUAACUGGAGGACCGAACCGACUAAUGUUGAAAAAUUAGCGGAUGACUUGUGGCUGGGGGUGAAAGGCCAAUCAAACCGGGAGAUAGCUGGUUCUCCCCGAAAGCUAUUUAGGUAGCGCCUCGUGAAUUCAUCUCCGGGGGUAGAGCACUGUUUCGGCAAGGGGGUCAUCCCGACUUACCAACCCGAUGCAAACUGCGAAUACCGGAGAAUGUUAUCACGGGAGACACACGGCGGGUGCUAACGUCCGUCGUGAAGAGGGAAACAACCCAGACCGCCAGCUAAGGUCCCAAAGUCAUGGUUAAGUGGGAAACGAUGUGGGAAGGCCCAGACAGCCAGGAUGUUGGCUUAGAAGCAGCCAUCAUUUAAAGAAAGCGUAAUAGCUCACUGGUCGAGUCGGCCUGCGCGGAAGAUGUAACGGGGCUAAACCAUGCACCGAAGCUGCGGCAGCGACGCUUAUGCGUUGUUGGGUAGGGGAGCGUUCUGUAAGCCUGUGAAGGUGUACUGUGAGGUAUGCUGGAGGUAUCAGAAGUGCGAAUGCUGACAUAAGUAACGAUAAAGCGGGUGAAAAGCCCGCUCGCCGGAAGACCAAGGGUUCCUGUCCAACGUUAAUCGGGGCAGGGUGAGUCGACCCCUAAGGCGAGGCCGAAAGGCGUAGUCGAUGGGAAACAGGUUAAUAUUCCUGUACUUGGUGUUACUGCGAAGGGGGGACGGAGAAGGCUAUGUUGGCCGGGCGACGGUUGUCCCGGUUUAAGCGUGUAGGCUGGUUUUCCAGGCAAAUCCGGAAAAUCAAGGCUGAGGCGUGAUGACGAGGCACUACGGUGCUGAAGCAACAAAUGCCCUGCUUCCAGGAAAAGCCUCUAAGCAUCAGGUAACAUCAAAUCGUACCCCAAACCGACACAGGUGGUCAGGUAGAGAAUACCAAGGCGCUUGAGAGAACUCGGGUGAAGGAACUAGGCAAAAUGGUGCCGUAACUUCGGGAGAAGGCACGCUGAUAUGUAGGUGAAGCGACUUGCUCGUGGAGCUGAAAUCAGUCGAAGAUACCAGCUGGCUGCAACUGUUUAUUAAAAACACAGCACUGUGCAAACACGAAAGUGGACGUAUACGGUGUGACGCCUGCCCGGUGCCGGAAGGUUAAUUGAUGGGGUCAGCGCAAGCGAAGCUCUUGAUCGAAGCCCCGGUAAACGGCGGCCGUAACUAUAACGGUCCUAAGGUAGCGAAAUUCCUUGUCGGGUAAGUUCCGACCUGCACGAAUGGCGUAAUGAUGGCCAGGCUGUCUCCACCCGAGACUCAGUGAAAUUGAACUCGCUGUGAAGAUGCAGUGUACCCGCGGCAAGACGGAAAGACCCCGUGAACCUUUACUAUAGCUUGACACUGAACAUUGAGCCUUGAUGUGUAGGAUAGGUGGGAGGCUUUGAAGUGUGGACGCCAGUCUGCAUGGAGCCGACCUUGAAAUACCACCCUUUAAUGUUUGAUGUUCUAACGUUGACCCGUGAUCCGGGUUGCGGACAGUGUCUGGUGGGUAGUUUGACUGGGGCGGUCUCCUCCUAAAGAGUAACGGAGGAGCACGAAGGUUGGCUAAUCCUGGUCGGACAUCAGGAGGUUAGUGCAAUGGCAUAAGCCAGCUUGACUGCGAGCGUGACGGCGCGAGCAGGUGCGAAAGCAGGUCAUAGUGAUCCGGUGGUUCUGAAUGGAAGGGCCAUCGCUCAACGGAUAAAAGGUACUCCGGGGAUAACAGGCUGAUACCGCCCAAGAGUUCAUAUCGACGGCGGUGUUUGGCACCUCGAUGUCGGCUCAUCACAUCCUGGGGCUGAAGUAGGUCCCAAGGGUAUGGCUGUUCGCCAUUUAAAGUGGUACGCGAGCUGGGUUUAGAACGUCGUGAGACAGUUCGGUCCCUAUCUGCCGUGGGCGCUGGAGAACUGAGGGGGGCUGCUCCUAGUACGAGAGGACCGGAGUGGACGCAUCACUGGUGUUCGGGUUGUCAUGCCAAUGGCACUGCCCGGUAGCUAAAUGCGGAAGAGAUAAGUGCUGAAAGCAUCUAAGCACGAAACUUGCCCCGAGAUGAGUUCUCCCUGACUCCUUGAGAGUCCUGAAGGAACGUUGAAGACGACGACGUUGAUAGGCCGGGUGUGUAAGCGCAGCGAUGCGUUGAGCUAACCGGUACUAAUGAACCGUGAGGCUUAACCUU
rnacentral:rRNA from 1 species